UACGGAGGAGGCAAGCGUUAUCCGGAAUUAUUGGGCGUAAAGCGUCCGCAGGUGGCUAUUCAAGUCUGCGGUCGAAGACUGGGGCUUAACCCUGGAAAGGCCGUGGAAACUGAAGAGCUAGAGUGCAGUAGGGGUAGAGGGAAUUCCCGGUGUAGCGGUGAAAUGCGUAGAGCUCGGGAAGAACAUCGGUGGCGAAAGCGCUCUGCUGGACUGCAACUGACACUCAGGGACGAAAGCUAGGGGAGCGAAUGGG
rnacentral:rRNA from 1 species